rnacentral:rRNA from 1 species
AUUGAACGCUGGCGGCAUGCUUUACACAUGCAAGUCGAACGGUAACAGGCCGCAAGGUGCUGACGAGUGGCGAACGGGUGAGUAAUGCACCGGAACGUGCCCAGUCGUGGGGGAUAACUACUCGAAAGAGUAGCUAAUACCGCAUACGAUCUAUGGAUGAAAGCGGGGGACCGUAAGGCCUCGCGCGAUUGGAUCGGCCGAUGUCCGAUUAGGUAGUUGGUGGGGUAAAGGCUCACCAAGCCAACGAGCUGUAGCUGGUCGGAGAGGACAACCAGCCACACUGGAACUGAGACACGGCCCAGAGUCCUACGGGAGGCAGCAGUGGGGAAUUUUGGACAAUGGGCGCAAGCCUGAUCCAGCAAUGCGGCGUGCGGGAAGAAGGCCUUCGGGUUGUAAACUGCGUUUGUACGGAACGAAACGGCUCUGGUUAAUACCCGGGGCUAAUGACGGUACCGGAAGAAUAAGCACCGGCUAACUACGUG